UACGUAGGGAGCGAGCGUUGUCCGGAUUCAUUGGGCGUAAAGAGCUCGUAGGCGGCUUGGCAAGUCGGGUGUGAAAACUCCAGGCUCAACCUGGAGACGCCACCCGAUACUGCCAUGGCUAGAGUCCGGUAGGGGACCACGGAAUUCCUGGUGUAGCGGUGAAAUGCGCAGAUAUCAGGAGGAACACCGGUGGCGAAGGCGGUGGUCUGGGCCGGAACUGACGCUGAGGAACGAAAGCGUGGGGAGCGAACAGG
rnacentral:rRNA from 1 species